UGAAAAACUGUUGGUGAAAGAUGGGGACAUAAAAGAAAGAUAGAAAAAUUAAUUUGAUAAUCUCUUUAACAAUAGUCAAAGUGAUAAUAGCGUGAAUAUAGACUACAGAGCAAUAGAAAAUAAUGUCAAUUACACUAGAAGGAUUAGAUUUUCAGAAGUAAAGGCAUCACUUAAGAGAAUGAAAAAAAGUGGAUAAAGAUUGUGGACCCGAUGGAAUACCAAUUAA
rnacentral:misc_RNA from 1 species